UUCACAGUGGCUGAAUGUAAUCAGUAUUUGCCUAAAGACGUGCAAACAGGUGUAGACAGGCAAGUCCAAACACAGAGGCCGAAAAAGGAUGCGAAUUGAUACGGCCGUGAACUAUAGGGACGAGGUUAUAAUUAUUAUUUUUUCGGGGAAAAAUAGCAUAACCGCUGCAUUGCUCUGCUCGCUAAGUGGGGCGAAGCCCUAGGCAAACAAUGCAAGGAUUUCAAGUUGAAACGGGAGAGAAAUUUCUGGGAAAACCACCGCUGAGUGGCGAUCAAUACAUAUAGGUGCCAUGAAGACCUGACUAGUUUCAUCUCUGAUCUGUAGAUGGCAAAUAAAAAACGUCAGAAUCACGCGCUCAUCACAAUAAAUCAACUUGGCUAAGUCAAAAAUCCUCCCAUGUGGUCGUUUAGCACACACUCAACGUCUUAACAGCGCAAUCAAUUUUGACAAUUCGGUAACAUUGAAACAAUACUGGUGCCAUGUAGGAAGGUUCUGUUUGAUUUGCGUCAAUUAUUGCCAAAAACAUUAAGCUGGCGAAACUCUUAUCGCAACUGGUGCGAAGGCUGUUACCAAAUUGUUAAAUAAUAAUACAAAUCGCAUAAAACUGGGCCAACCAGGUGAAUUAGAACUUUGAAGAUCCCUAUCCCUAAAAUGAUGAUAAUGAUCUCAUCUGCUUUACCUUAACAGGUAGGCUGACCGAUAGAGACCAACCAAUCACGUGCCAUGUCAUGCACGUCGUACAUUAGUUUGGCAUGACAGUGACAAUGACAAAGGGCUUUGACGUGGCUCAACUGAAAGGUAACCGAUAUGGUAGUAGCAGCAACCUCGAAUGCACCAUACACAUUUCUAACGGAAGUUUUGCACAACAGAAUCAGCAAAGUGUACAGGCUUUAGUCGCUAAUUAGCGAAUAGAGGUCAUAGUUGGCCGGUAUGUGUAAUAGCGCAGACCUUGCCCGAAAGUGAGCGCACUUUUUGCAAUAUUUCAGUUAAUUACCGUGGGGGAACAGGCGCUGAUUGGUGUUGCGGUUUCCACAACAUAAGCCACGCCAGUGUUACUUUCAAAUACCAAAAAAGUUUUUUUAUUAUGGCACCAGGACAUUAUGGUGAAUGCGCCACUAUAAUGUUCCGAAAGGAACAGCGUUUACUCCAUACAGGGCAGGCUAAGAACAAAAGAAACGAAUUAAACGAAAAAACUCGAUACUACUUCUUCCUGCGACAUUAGUGUAUAUUUCCGAAGGUCAUCAUUCAUACAUUUUAGAUUACAUCGAACAACAUCCACGUGAAUUAUUUCCGUACCAUUAACUUGGGGUUGACAUUCUAAAUAUAAAAGCUACAAUAAUCCUAUAAAUAACUCGGAAUCGAAUGACUAUCAAAUGCGAUUGUUUAGUCCAAAUAUAUACAUUAUCUUAUGUUUAAUUUAAAAAGUGGGCUUGGUUGAGAAAGCAAAAACCGACCAUAUUUCCCGCCGUCAUCAAGAACAAAUAGAACAAAAAGUGCAGUUAUUGCUGCGAGAAUAAUUUACGAAAAACUCGACCUUCUUACCACUUAUCACUGAGCAAAUAGACAUACCUUUCUGCCAGUGCAAUAACACGAGCGACUUCGAACAGUCGCAUUUACGACUAAACAUAACUCAGUUAUUAAUAAACUCAGUAAACUACUAAUCAACUAUUUACAUCGGAAAAACAAUAGAAACUCCGAAAAUAAUCCGUAAUCCCAAUCAAUACUGGACAUUGACGCAUUCAUAACUUAUUUUAGGUGAACGACGGUCGUCCAUAAUUGAAGACCGUCCAUUAUGUAUUACAUGUACCGGAAUUAGUUCCAAAGCCUAACGACAAAAAGGGAUUAAAUGCGUCAACAACAACGAAUUGCUGACGGAAACCAGCGGCAUGUGGAUGGUCUAGACUCUAAAAUCCCAACUACGACUCGCUAACAAGGAAACAGUUGCAUUCAUCAUUCCAGCUAAACCGAGUCAAAGCAAUGGAGGCGAGAGCCACGCUUUUUUCCCUUUGUUCUAUUUUUAGCUGGUUUAGUACAAGUAAUGUCCAAGUUCCAGGAAUCGAAUCUGCGGAAACCAUGGAUGGACGUACGGCAGGAGAUUGAAGCGAACCAUCAUCGCCCGGGUGAUUAAUACAGGACGUCCGGAAACUAGACCCACAGAGUAUCAAAUCUAUUAAGACGAUUUAGCCUUAGUUCUUCGGCUGUUCGUCUAGUUUCCGGACACUCCGCAUAAUCAUCCUUCCUAAAGAAACAACUUAGAAACUAGACAUCGACAUAUCGGCAGUGGCAACUGGCAACACAAAACCUGCCACCAAACGAUUCCCAUAACCAAUCACAUAAACUGAUGUGGUAUCGCAAAGGCCCCAAUCACAAAGCGCUCACCUUAUUGGUGGAACUGGCGUAGUUGUAGGGCCUGGAAGUCUUCGUAGCAACAACCUCGCCGGUUGCUUUCGCUGGGACUUUAGUGGACGCGAUAGUGGUGGAUUCGGGGCUGGUUGUGUUUGGCUUUGUGACCUGAAACAGAAAAAAACAAUGCUCAAAACGGCCCCGCUAACUGAAUUAGCAAAUUUCACAGCGCGGCCUUCAUUCAUUAGAUGCCUGAAUAGGCCACACUAAUUGACAAUGCCGUUAAAAUGGAACCCAGAAGGAACCAAAGCGGAAGAUCUAAUUGGUUCCAGUUUGAUAAUGUUGCUCAAUAUUGCUUGAAAAGUUUGUAUUAGAGAGGUAAGCGCGCUCCAAGUUGGUACCUAAUUGGCCAUUGGCUUACCUCCAAGCUUUCAGGAACGGUCUGAAGAGUCGAUCGCAUGGCUGUCGACAUGACGAUCUCGACCGGGCCGGGAUGGAUGUUAAAGGAGCGGUCGCGCCCAGCACUUCACAUUACCU